AUUCGGUGAUGAGGGUAUUUCUGUAAUAAUUCUUUGUACCUUUCCCAUGAUUUAGACAAGGACUAAUCAUCCAUUUUUUGGAAAUCAAUGAUCUUGUUCCUCAACUU
rnacentral:snoRNA from 1 species